rnacentral:tRNA from 1 species
GCCUGGAUAGCUCAGUCGGUAGAGCACGUCCUUGGUAAGGACGAGGUCGUGGGUUCAAUUCCCGCUCCAGGCU